AGGUGCUGUCUGUCUAUCAAUUCAUCUAUAUUUUCUGUGUGUCUCUCUGUGCUGUCUAUGUAUCUAUCUGCCUGUCUGUAUGUGUAUCUAUCCAUCUCUCUGCCAGCCAGUCCCCUCUGGUUAUCUCUAUGUAUGUAUGUAUGUAUGUAUGUAUGUAUGUAUGUAUGUAUUCAUGUAUUUGCUUCUCUCAUUCUCUGUCUUUCUGUCCAUCUCUAUGUCUGUCUGUGUCUGUUAGUUUUUUUUCUCUAUGCAGGUAGAUAGAUAGCUAUUUGUGACAGAGAGAGAGAGAGAGAGAGAGAGAGAGAGAGAGAGAGAGAGCGCCACAGAAAUGCAGAAUGAUAAAUGGACAAGUUAAUAUAUUGAUAGACUGAUAGACAUAUACUGGCAUGCAUGUAGAGCAAAACACAGAUAGAAUGAGAUAGAUAGAUAGAUAGAUAAGUAGAGAGAAACUUACUACAUACAUACAUAGAUACAUUGAUAGGUAGACACAGACAGAUAUAUAGAGAUACAGUUAGGUAUAAUGACAGAUUGACAGAAAAGUAGACUGAGGUAUCGAUAGAUUAAUAGGCAGAGAGAAUGACAGAUAGCUAGACAGAGGGUCAGACACAGAUAGACAGACAGAGAAAUUCAAGCAGAUCGAUACACAGAAAGAAACAGACAAAUAUCUAGAGUGAUAGAGUUGGGUAGACAGAUUCAAAGAGAGAGAAAUAGAAAGAUCACUAAGUUGAUAUGAAAAGAAGGAAAGAGAACCAGACACAGACAGACUGAUAGACAAAAAGACAGGACAGAGGUACAGUCAGACAGACACAUGAACAGACAGACUGACGGACAGAUUAGUUUGUCAUUCUAUCUAUCUGCGUUCCUUUCUGUCUUUCUACAAGUCUGUCUAACAGGAUGUGCAACUGUCUAUCUAUCUAUCCACAUUUUUAUAUCAUUCUACUUUCUAUCUCUCUAUCUGUCUGUCUGUAUAACAAUCCGUCUGUCUGUCUGUCUGUCUAUCUGUCUGUCUAUCUAUCUGUCUGUCUAUCUAUCUAUCUAUCUAUCUAUCUAUCUAUCUAUCUAUCUAUCUAUCUAUCUGUCUGUCUGUCUGUCUGUCUGUCUGUCUGUCUAUCUAUAUCUUUGUUUAUCUGUCGGUGCAGUCUAUGUAUCUAUCUGCAUGCCUAUUUGUGAUUGGAUCUAUCUAUGUGUAUGUCCUUUGUGUGUUUUAAAAUGGUGUGAUAUCCUGGGGAACUACAAUUCCCAGUGUCCCCAAGUAGUACCACCCCUUUGAGUCCUGGAUUGGGAUUGGUCUGGCCAUGGACCAAUCCCGUGUUUGGGGAGGUUUAUGUCCAUGGUCCCUCCUUAGCAUGGGAUUGGUCCAUUUUAAAACCAAUCCCAUGAAAGGAAAUAAUGGACAUAUUCUCUUGCCAAGCAUAGGAUUCUUCCAAUUCAAGACUAAUCCCUCAAUGGAAAUAAGGCAUAGGGACCACUGGAGCAAGCUGGGAGAUAUAGUUCCCAAGGCCCAAUGCUUGAAAUCCCCCAUGAUCUCUUUCUGUGAAUCUUUGUAGAUGGAGAGAUGGACAGCAGGACAGACAGAGCUACCGACAGACAGAUUAUUUGAUCUGUUAUUCUGUCUGUUCGCCUACUGGUUGUUACAUCUCUCAGCCUGUCUAUGUUUCUUUUGUGGGUUUUCAAGUGUUGUGACAGCCUGGGUAACUACAACCCCCAUUGUGCCACUAGAGUCCCUCCUCCUUGAGUCCUGGCUUGGGAUUGGUUCGGAAUUGGACCAAUCCCGUUUUGUAGGAGGGACAAUGCCCAUGGCCCCUCCUUAGCCCAGGAUUGGUCCAUCUAAAGAGCAUUCACACAAAGGAAAGUAGAGAGCAUCAUUGCUCACCUAGCCUAGUAUUGGUCCAAUUCAAGACCAAUCCCUCCCAGGAAAUAUGUGGGAGGGACUCCUGGAGCACACUGGGGGAUGCAGUUGCUCAGGCCACAAGGCAAGAAAAGCCACGCUAUCUCUAGCUCUAUAUCCAUGUAGACUGAGAGAUGGACAACUGGACCUACAGACAAGAGGACUGACAGAGAGUUUUGUUUAUCUAUUAUUCUGUCUUACUGCCUUCCUGUCUAUGUAUCUGUUAGUCAGUGUGUUUCUCUGCCCAUCAGUCCUUUCUGGGUAUCUAUCUCUAUUUAGUUAUGUAUGUAUGUACCUAUCUAUGUAUGUAUCAGUUUCUCAAUUGAUCUACAGUGUCUGUCAAUCAGUCUGUCCAUUGGUCUAUCCCUCUAUCUACCUUAUCAGUCACUCGAUCUUUCCCAUUCUCCUUCUCAGAUGUCCACCCAAACAUAUCAGAACAAGUGGUUGCAGGCAAGCAAAGCAUGUGAUAGUGCCCCUGUGGUGUUCAGAUGGCUCAGAAGAUGUAUGUGGUUCAAGAUUGGACGGGGAGUGGCAGACCUCCACGUUGGCCAGUGAGGCUCCAUCAUUUCUUUCCUAACGUCUUCUGAUUCGACUUUGAGACAACCCAGCACUCUGGAAUCUUUGCUGCAACUUCUCCAAUGAACAGAUGUUCCGUUCCAUCCUCUUAACGAGGUAUCCACUCUAGAAAAUGGGAAUAAGUGGUUGCAGGCAAGCAAAGCAUAUGAUGGUGUCCCUGUGAUGUUCAGGUGGCUCAGAAAAUGCAUUUUGUUCAAGAUUGGAGGGGGAGUGGCAGACCUCCACUUUGGCCAGUGAGGCUCCAUCAUUUCUUUCCUAACGUCUUCUGAUUCGAUUUUGAGACAACCCAGCACUCUGGAAUCUUUGCUGCAACUUCUCCAAUGGACAGAUGUUCCAUUCCAUCCUCUUAACGAGGUAAAAUGCUCCUAUUUUCAACUUUCCUCCUUCAACUCAAAAUGGAGACUAAGUCUGUCCUUUCCAGGUUCUCGACUUAAAGAGCCUUGGCUCCGGGUAAAUAGAAUUCUCAGGGGAAAUCAAAUGGCAAGUUUUCCCACGCUAUAGUAAUAUUUCUCAAGUCAAUGAAAAGGACAGGAAACAAUUCUUCUCUGGAUUCUGUAUCUUGAGGGCUCCUUCGGAUUUCUGCUUAAGGUGUCUCCUUGAGCAGUUCUUCAGUUUCUGGGCUGCAGGAAAAUCUCAUCCAGGCUUUUGGCUCCUAAUAAACGUCUUGAGGUAAACCUUCCUUUCAUAGGUUUUCAUCUCUUCACCCACACACCAGAACUCGGGGGUAAAGUCCAGGGCAUUCCUAGAAACGUCUUAGGAAUUUCCCAGGUGGGGAAUUCCUUUAUUAGCAGUUAUGUGCCAAUGAUGAUCAGAAAUAAUGCACACAAAACCAUCAGUUCUCUCCACUUCAAAAGGAAAAUUAGUUCUCAGUAUUCUCUGGUCUUUUCAAACAAAAACCUAUCUAUUUGGAAUGGUUGCACUCUAGAAGUUGACCUUCAAAAUGCCCCAAAUCAGGUUGUAGUUGAUGAUGCUUUUCCUGUUUCAAAAACUCAAACCUGUAACAUUUUCGCUCCAAAAACAAAACUUAGGGUUACUAAAGAAAAGGUUCAAAAUUUCCUCUAACUAGGAACACCUCUACUAUUCCCUUCCCUUUUUUCAUUUUUUACUCUAAUUUCCUUUGGGCUGCCAAUUUGCCUUUCUCUUUUCCUUUGUUACAAGGGAAUCACUUUAAAAGACUGAUAUAUAUUAAUUUAAGGUCGCCAAGGAAUCAGCUAUGUAAUUCCUAAAUGAAAACUCAAGUCAGCCGUCAGCCUUUUUUGGAGUUUAAUUACAAUAGGAGCAAGAAAGGAAUUAGAGAUAUAUAUAGAGAGAGAAAGGGGAGAGAAGGGAAUAGGGCUUAAAUACCCCUUCUGUUUAGGCUGGGCCAAAAGGCCCAAGCCCUUAGAUAGCUGGGGCAAAAAAAAGAGAUCAGUCCCUUUCACUCACGUGUCCAAAAUGGAGAAACAGUCUCAGAGGCCCCCACCUUCAGCUUCCUUCAGAGCAAGCUUCCUCAGAGCCCAGGAACCACACCGACCAAAAAACUCAAUCUCCCCCCGAGUCUCCAGACCCUCCUAUCUUUAAGGAAACCAUCCAAGUUGCCUCCCCUCAGUCCUCACAUCUACCAAUCACUCUUCAUCAAUUUCCCUGUCAAUGGAGGCUCUCGCUUAACCCAGGACCGCCCAGAGGUUUCUGGCUUUUGCACAUGUCUGUUGAAGGUCAUAUUUUUCAAAUGAUUAAAUCUUUACUCUUUUGUUACAGCCCUUUCUAAAUCCUGUUAACUUGAGUAUGGUAGAGAUUGGAAUAAUUAAAUUUUGAUCUAGGCUGCAGCCCUUACUCAAUCCUGUUAGGACUGAAUAGGGUGGAGAUUUAUUCCAAGUAUCUCCAUUGUAUCAAUUCUAAAAUCAAUCAAGACUCAAAGAAAUUCCUGUUCUAUGCUUAAGCAUAGGUCAAAGUCCUUUCCAUUGUUCAGCAAAGGGUUUCUGUCCUAAAGUAAUCUUAAGAAGGGAAGAGAAGGAACCUCCCAUGCCAAUGGGGUUCCCAUUCCAAUAGACUAUCAGUAAGAAAUUUUCCAAGUAUGAAAUAUCCCAAUGGUGAAAUUUCCAACAUUUACAAGUCUAAGGAAAUUUGAGGUUUACACCUUGCUGCAAAGCACUUUGGCCUAUGGCUAAAGCUGCUCCUAGAGAGGAAAUUUGUGGCUCAAGUAACUUGGAAAUUUGUGGCUCAAGUAACUUGGAAAUACCACAGAUCUCUCAAAUAGUCUGAAAAAACAAGUCUUAAAUCAGGAUAGGGAUAAACCCCAUAUUGUAUUCUUGACUCAGAGUCCGGUGCCACGAUUUUACAGGGCAUAAACCCUGGACUCUGGGGAUGUUAUCCCUGGGAGGGCCACCAGACUAGAUGACAACUCCAAAGAACAAAAGAAUUUGGGGAACAUCUCUACCAUUUUGGGGAAAUCCAGGAACAGGGUAAGAUGAGUGACUUUGCUCAACCUACCACGAAAAUGGGAGGAUUCAAACUCUACGGAUAGCAUCCAAUGAAGCUUGAGAAAAGAAUCACAGCUUGAGGAGAGGGUCUAAGGGAAAGGGCUGCUGACAGUGGAGACUAAAGAUGAUCCCUGAUCAGGUGGGGAUUUACUUGGGAAAAGAUCUCUGAACCCACAGGGGAGACUACCUAAAACAAAGAGUGUCCUGAGCCUCUGCUUAGUCCUAUCCAAGUAGAAUUGUCAUUCACUCUCCAUUAUUCAGCCUGAACCUGCUAGCCUGAGAUUCCCUUCUGGAUGGAUCCUCACAGAAACAGGGAACAAGUACAAAGUUUGGGUCUUCAAGUUAGAAGCUAGUCCUAACUUUGGGGUACAUCUGAUCUUACUAUGCUACAAGUUUAGGGUUUCUAGAUUCCAUGUUGACACUCUGUGUGUAUAUCUAUCUCUCUGUCUAUAUCUAUAAUUCUUUCUUUGUGAUUGUCCUUCCGUCAUGUAUCUAUCUGCCUGUAUGUAUGUAUAUUUCUCCAUCUGUCUGCAAGCCUGUCCCUUCUGGUUAUCUGUAUAUAUGUAUGUAUGUAUGUAUGUAUGUAUGUAUGUAUGUAUGUAUGUAUCUAUUUGCUUUUCUCAGUCUCUGUCUUUCUGUCCAACUAUCUGUCUGUUUGUGUCUGUCAGUUUUUUUCUCUACAAAGAUAGAUAGAUAGUUAUGUGUGUGUGUGUGUGUGUGUGUGUGUGUGUGUGUGUGUGUGUGUGUAAGAGAGAGAGAGAGCCACAGAUAUGGAGAAUGAUAAAUGGACAAUUUGAUAGAUAGACCGAUAGAUAUAUACAGACAGACACAUAGAAAUACACACAUAUAGAAUGAGAUAGUUAGAUUGAUAGAUAGAUAGACAGAGAGACACAGACAGAUAUGUAGAGACACAGAUACAAUGACAUUUAGACAGAAAGUUAGACUGAGGUAUCGAUAUAUUAGUAGACAGAGAGAAUGAAAGAUAGCAAGACAGAGGGUCAGACACAGAUAGAGAGACAGAGAGAGUCAAGCAGAUCGAUACAUAGACAGAAACAGACAAAUAUCUAGAGAGAUAGACUUGGGUAGACAGAAUCAAAGAGAGAGAGAUAGAAAGAUCACUGGGUUGAUAUAAAGAGAAGGAAAAAGAACAAACUUCUAUACACAGACAGACUGAUGGACAAAAAGACAGGACAGAGGAACGGACAGACAGACACCUGAACAGACAGAUGGACCGAUAGAUUAGUUUCUCUGUCAUUCUGUCUAUCUGCCUUCGUUUCUGUGUAUCUACAAGUCUGUCUCACUGGAUGUGCAACUGUCUAUUGAUCCAGAUUUUUGUAUCUUUCUAUCUCUGUCUGGCUCUCUAUCUGUCUGUCUGUCUGUCUGUCUGUCUGUCUGUCUGUCUGUCUAUCUUUGUCUUUGUGUAUCUUUGGGUGUAGUCUAUGUAUCUAUCUGCCUGCUUGUUUGUGCAUGGAUCAGUCUGUGUGUAUGUUCUUGGUGUGUUUUAAAGUGUUGUGAUAGCCUGGGGAACUACAACUCCCAGUGUGAUGGAGUAUUCCAACCCCUUUGAGUCCUGACUUCUGAAUAGUCUUUCAUGGGACCAAUCCAGCUUUGGGGGGCAAUGGCCAUGACCCUCCGUAGCAUGGGAUUGAUCCAUUUCAAAACCAAUCCCAUGAAAGGAAAUAAUGGGCUUCAUCCCUUUCCCAGCAUAGGAUUGGUCCAAUUCAAGACCAAUUUCCUCCUCGGAAAUACAGGGGAAAGACCCGUGGAGCAGGCUGGGAGAUGUAGUCCCCUAGUCCACAGCCCUUGAAAACCCACAAGAUCACUUUCUAUGAAUCUAUGUAGACGGAGAGAUGGACAGCUUAACAGACAGAAGGACUGACAGAUUAUUUGAUCUGUUAUUCUUUCUAUUCGCCUACUGGUUGGUAUAUCUCUCAGCCUCCCUGUGUUUCUUUUGUGUGUUUUCAAGUGUUGUGACAGUCUUGGGAACUACAACUCCCAGUGUGCCCCAGGAGUCCCACCCCUUUGAGUCCUGGUUUGUGAUUGAUCCUGAAUUAGACCAAUCCAUUGUUGGGGGAGGGAAAAUGCUCAUAGUCCGUCCUUUGCACGGGAUUGGUCCUCUUUAAAACCAAUCCCAUGAAAGGAAAAUAUGGCCAUCAUCCCUUCCCCAGCAUAGGAUUGGUUCAAUUAAAGAACACUCCCUACAAGGAAAUGACGGGAGGUGACCCUUGUAGAAUGCUGGGUGAUGUAGUACCCUAGGCCGAUACACUGGAAAACCCAAGGUAUGUCUCUCUAUGGAUCUAUGUAGAGGGAGAGAUGGACAAUUAGACAGACAGAAGGACUGACAGAUAGAUUUGUCUAUCUGUCUAUCUAUUAUUCUGUCUAUCCGCCUGCUGAUAGGUGUAUCUAUUAGUCUACCUGUCUCAAUUUUUGGGAUUUUCUCCGAGUUGUGACUGCCUUCGGAACUACAACCCCCAGGGUCCCCGAGGAGCCCCUCCUCUUUGAGUCCUGGCUUUGGAUUGGUCCCGAAUUCGACCAAUUGAGAGUUGGGGGAUGCAGAAUGCCCAUGGCCUCUCUUUAGCCCAAGAUUUGCCCAUAUCAAGUGGCAGACGUCCACUUUGGCUAGUGAGGUGUCCACCCUAGAAUAUCGGGAUAAGUGGUUGCAGGCAAGCAAAGCAUAUGAUGGUGCCCCUGUGGUGUUCAGAUGGCUCAGAAGAUGUAUUUGGUUCAAGAUUGGAUGGGGAGUGGCAGACCUCCAUUUUGGCCAAUGAGGCUUCUUCAUUUCUUUCCUAACAUCUUCUGAUUCGACUUUGAGACAACCCAGCGCUCUGGAAUCUUUGCUGCGACUUCUCCAUUGAACAGAUGUUCCUUUCCAACCUUUUAACAAGGUUUCCACCCAAACAUAUCGGAAUAAGUGGGUGCAGGCAAGCAAAGCAUGUGAUAGUGCCCCUGUGGUUUUCAGAUGGCUCAGCAGAUGUAUUUGGUUUAAGAUUAGAGGGGGCGUGGAAGACAUACACUUUGGCCAGUGAGGCUCCAUCAUUUCUUUCCUAACGUCUUCUGAUUCGACUUUGAGACAACCCAGCACUCUGGAAUCUUUGCUGCGACUUCUCCAAUGAACAGAUGUUCCUUUCCAUCCUCUUAAUAAGGUAUCCACCCUAGAAAAUAGGAAUAAGUGGUUGCAGGCAAGCAAAGCAUAUGAUGGUGCCCCUCUGAUGUUCAGAUGGCUCAGCAGAUGUAUUUGGUUCAAGAUUGGAGGGGGAGUGGCAGACCUCUACUUUGGCCAGUGAGGCUUCGUCAUUUCUUUCCUAACGUCUUCUGAUUCGACUUUGAGACAACCCAGCACUCUGGAAUCUUUACUGCAACUUCUCCAAUGAACAGAUGUUCCUUUCCAUCCUUUUAACAAGAUAAAAUGCUCCUAUUUUCAACUUUCCUCCUUCAACUCAGUCUGGGGACUAAUUCUGUCCUUUCUAGGUUCUCGACUUAAAGAGCCUUGGCUCCGGGUAAAUAGAAUUCUCAGGGGAAAUCAAAAGGCCAUUUUUCCCUCUGCUAAAGAUAUAUUUCUCAUGUCAAUGAAAAUGAGAGGCAACAAUCCUUCUCCAGAUUCCAUAUCUUGGGGGCUUUUUCCUUUUUACCCUAAAGAUGUCUCCUUGAGCUGUUCUUUAGAUUCUGGGCUGCAGGAAAAUCUGGUCCAAGCUUUUUGCUUCCUAGGAAUCAUCUUGAGGUAAAUCCUCCAUUUCAUAGGUUUUCAUCUCUUCACACCCACACCAGAAGUGGGGGGGGGGUAAAAUCUAGGGCGUUCCUAGAAAUAUCUUAGGAGUUUCCCAGGUGGGGAAUUCCUUUCUCUAUUAGCUGUCAUGUGCCAAAGUUCAUGAGAAAUAAUGCGCAUAAAACCAUUAGUUCUCUCCACUUCAAAAGCAAAAUUAGUUCUCAGUAUUCGCUGGUCUUUACAAACAAAAACUUAUCAAUUGGAAUGGUUGCACUCUGGAAAUUGACCUUCAAAAUGCCCCAAAUCAGGUUAUAGUUGAUGAUGCUUUUCCUUUUUCAAAAACUCAAACUCGUAACAUUUUCUCUCCAAAAAGAAACCUGAGGGUUACUAAGGAAAAGGUUCAAAGUUUCCUCUAAGUAGGAACACUUCUACUCUUCCCUUCUCUUUUACUUUUUUUUACUCUAAUUUCCUAAAUUAGCUAAAGCUGCUCCUAGAGAGGAAAUUUGUGGCUCAAUUAAAAAAUGUUCACCGUUUACCUAGCAUUGAAAACAAAGCAUUGCCCCAGUAUUUCUUGUCCUUUGACAAUCAUUGAAAGACCAGUCAGUUGCCCAUCCUCAAAUUCACGUUCUUUACUCCUGAAAUCACACACACACACACACACACACACGCACACACACUCACACACACAGACACAGACACACACACACACACAUACACACAUGGUAAUAUGAAAAAAUCAACCCUUGUUCUUUGGAAAGAAAUAACAGCUUGACAAAAAUAUGAAAUAAGAGCUCUGAAAUAACAAAGUUAUUACCCAGUAGAAAAUGCAUCUUAUUGGCAAUAGUCAAAAUUCACUGCACUUGAUAUACACGAUUUCACACAUUUGUCCUAGCAAAACUUGGGAAGAAAAGAUUAGACUUUAAAGUUAAGAAUUUAUGGUCCUCCUUUGGCCUUGUGCUCCAUAAUCCCCAUGCUGAUAGCCAGUUCCUGCCGUUGUCUCUGUCUUUUCCGUGGAAUGAACUGUUGUAACACAACUUGAUAGACAUCAUUUGCUAACAUUUCUAUCACGUGCUUGUAGAAGAAAUCCAUUAGACAUACAGUGUAGCCCCAACCCCACAGAACAUUGAGAAGAAACAGAAAACUUAAGUUCCACAGCUUCUAGGAGGAGCACUUUCAUAAACCAAAUUUCAUUGCUCUUUAGACGUUAAGCCCUGAAAUUUAAAUUCAUUAAGAAACUUUCUCUAUUUUAAUAGACUUAAAGGAUUUACCCAGACCCUCUAUAGAACACUGUGGCUCUCACACUCCAAUUCAAGCUUCCCAUUCAACCCUUUCAGCCAUCCAUUCUCGCGUGUUGCCAAUUCUAUCCUCCCUUUUCCUUCUACUAGAAAUACUACUUCACUGAUGUACACAGGUACCAACACUCAGUCACACACAAACGUUAGCAGUUUUGGAGCCUGUGUUCAGGUUGACCCAGGCACCAUUUUGGCUGACGUACCUUGGAACCAGAUUUGGGGUAUAUUCCACACCCUUUCUAACAUUCCCAGAUACCUGGUCCAUCAUAUAUAUAUAUAUAUAUAUAUAUAUAUAUAUAUAUAUAUAUAUAUAUAUACAUG